AGCGAACGUUUGCGGCGGGCCUAACACAUGCAAGUCGAACGCACUAGCAAUAGUGAGUGGCGCACGGGUGCGUAACACGUGGGUAAUCAACCCUUCAGCUUGGGAUAACGACUUGAAAGGGUCGCUAAUACCGGAUACGGCGAGAGAGGCUUCGGCAUUUCUCGAGAAAGCCUCGCAAGGGGCACUGAAGGACGAGCCUGCGGCCCAUCAGCUAGUUGGUGAGGUAAGAGCUCACCAAGGCGAAGACGGGUAGCUGGUCUGAGAGGAUGAUCAGCCACACUGGAACUGAGACACGGUCCAGACUCCUACGGGAGGCAGCAGUGGGGAAUAUUGCGCAAUGGGCGAAAGCCUGACGCAGCCACGCCGCGUGAGCGAUGAAGGCC
rnacentral:rRNA from 1 species